ACACACACACACACACACACACACACACACACACAGUAUAUGCUCACCUUCUGGGAUAAUCUCCAGAGAUUUUGUAGAGCUUCAGAAUCCAUUUCUCAAUUGUAGAAAAGUGUACAUUGCGAUAAUUAUCCAGUGUUGGAGACUCAAUAUCUUAUCCAGAUUGAAUAGUUAGCAUCCCACGCACUGAGGAUUCGAUUCUCCUAGACUUCCAUUUUGACAUAAUUUAAUUCAAAAGCAAGGUUGCUCAUUGUGCAAUAUUAAGCCAAGGUGUUUCAUAUAAAAAGCAUUGGAUUAUCUUCUUCUCCAGGUGGCCUAGUUUAAAUAAGAUGGAGGUAUAAAUCUAAUCAACUACAAGACUAUGUCUAUUUUAUACUGUAUAGCUUCUUUAAAAAAAGACUGAUUCGUAUGCAGCAGUAAUUCAUUUAAUCUUAACAAGUCUUUGCAUAAUUUUAUAUUUCUUUACUAUACUUUCUUUGCCAAGAAUAUGUUCAUGUAAAUUACAUUCCCCCUGCUAGACUGACUCCAGGAAAUAUUUGAGAAGCAACCAGACUACUAACCCUUUAUAUAAUAGUUUCUCUUAUUGUUAUUUUUAUUGCUAAUUAAAUUACUGUGAAUCAAACUCCUCCCCUUUUUUUUAAAGGUGCAGCUCUUAUGUUUUUCUUGUUAUUUUAGACUCUUAAAAUUUUUAAUUAGUAUGGCCAGCAUAUAUAGUUGCAGAGUUGUGUGCUCUUAAUUCUUCCACCUAUGGUCAUGAGCUAAGGCUGGAUUGCUCCAGGUUUAUGUUGGCUACAGUGAAAUGCACUAAGUCCUGUCUUCAGCAUCUUUAGCUUGGGCUCAACAAUGCCCCUUGCAUUCCUUCUUUUCUAUUCCGUAUCAGAAAGGGGCCAAGGUCUAACCCACAUGUCUUCUACCAGCUUUGGUUUUAGGAUGGCCUUCUUGUCAUGUGCUUGCCACUAUCAUUUUGUGGGACUUAGUCCAUGGAAUGCUGCCAGAGGACUCCCCUGUCCUUCUGCUGUCUUUCAUGAUAUUUGCUGCUGUGUGGGUAGUGCCAUCCUAAAAACUUGAGGAUGUUUUAUUCAUCUUUUGUGUGUACAGCAUGUAC